UACAGAGGGGGCAAGCGUUGUUCGGAAUUACUGGGCGUAAAGGGCGCGUAGGCGGCCUGCUAAGUCGAACGUGAAAUCCCCGGGCUCAACCCGGGAACUGCGUCCGAUACUGGCAGGCUUGAAUCCGGGAGAGGGAUGUGGAAUUCCAGGUGUAGCGGUGAGAUGCGUAGAUAUCUGGAGGAACACCGGUGGCGAAGGCGGCAUCCUGGACCGGCAUUGACGCUGAGGCGCGAAAGCCAGGGGAGCAAACGGG
rnacentral:rRNA from 1 species